rnacentral:rRNA from 1 species
UACGUAGGGCGCAAGCGUUGUCCGAAAUUAUUGGGCGUAAAGAGCUCGUAGGCGGUCUGUCGCGUCGGCUGUGAAAACCCAGGGCUCAACCCUGGGCCUGCAUUCGAUACGGGCAGACUAGAGUUCGGUAGGGGAGACUGGAAUUCCUGGUGUAGCGGUGAAAUGCGCAGAUAUCAGGAGGAACACCGGUGGCGAAGGCGGGUCUCUGGGCCGAAACUGACGCUGAGGAGCGAAAGCGUGGGGAGCAAACAGG